CCUACGGGUGGCUGCAGUGGGGAAUUUUGCGCAAUGCUCGUAAGAGUGACGCAGCGACGCCGCGUGAAUGACGAAGGCCCACGGGACGUAAAGUUCCUUCGACCGGGAAGCAAAUGCCUAGAAGUAACUGCGUAUGUGUUGACGGUACCUGUAUAAGCAGCCCCGGCUAACUCCGUGCCAGAAGCCGCGGUAAUACGGAGGGGGCGAGCGGUGUUCGGAGUGACUGGGCGUAAAGAGCACGUAGGCGGUGUUGUAAGUCAUUAGUCAAAGACUAGAGCUCAACUUUAGUAAGGCUAGUGAUACUAUAAUACUAGAGUAUCAGAGAGGAUUGCAGAAUUCCUGGUGUAGCGGUGAAAUGCGUAGAUAUCAGGAAGAAUACCGUUAGCGAAGGCGGCGAUCUGGCUGGAAACUGACGCUGAGGUGCGAAAGCGUGGGUAGCAAACAGGAUUAGAUACCCCAGUAGUC
rnacentral:rRNA from 1 species